CUAAUCCUGCUUUUGACUUGUUAUCACGCUCUAUAUAAGAUCCUAAAUGAUAUAAUUAAGCAGGAUUAAUGUUUAUCUGCAUUAAAAAAUCAUGACUUGUUAUCUCUUUUGUAGAAAGACUACAAAAAGAAAAGCAGGCAAAUUAUAGUAGAAGUUAUUUGGAACCCGAAAGAAAGAAACGUCGAGAACUACGCACCUGGAGUCAGGAUCUUUAAGACGAACAGUCACUUCCUCUCUUGGAUCACUCUUACGAGAGUGCAAGUUUUGUGAGAUCUU
rnacentral:misc_RNA from 1 species